rnacentral:rRNA from 1 species
ACGGGAGGCAGCAGUGGGGGAUAUUGCACAAUGGGCGAAAGCCUGAUGCAGCAACGCCGCGUGAGGGAAGACGGUUUUCGGAUUGUAAACCUCUGUCUUUGGUGAAGAAAAAAAUGACGGUAGCCAAGGAGGAAGCCACGGCUAACUACGUGCCAGCAGCCGCGGUAAUACGUAGGUGGCAAGCGUUGUCCGGAAUUACUGGGUGUAAAGGGAGCGCAGGCGGGACUGCAAGUUGGAUGUGAAAUACCGCAGCUUAACUGCGGAGCUGCAUCCAAAACUGUAGUUCUUGAGUGGAGUAGAGGUAGGCGGAAUUCCGAGUGUAGCGGUGAAAUGCGUAGAUAUUCGGAGGAACACCAGUGGCGAAGGCGGCCUACUGGGCUCUUACUGACGCUGAGGCUCGAAAGUGUGGGGAGCAAACAGGAUUAGAUACCCUGGUA